GCUCUCACCGCCGCGGCCCGGGU
rnacentral:piRNA from 4 species